UGGGAUGCUAGGGGGUUCUUUUUAUUCUCUUUUCCACUGCAUUAUAACUUAGAUGGGUAUGCUUCAAGAAGGUUGGUUUUAUUGUUGAAGAAUACCCAUUUGGUUUUAGACAUAGUUUAUUUAGUUAAAUAUAUGGCUACUGGUGAAAUGGAUUAGCCAAAAAUUGCAUAUGUAAUAUGCAUACAAAUUCUUAGUAUCGUUGUAAACAGACAGCUUAAGUGGAGGAUUGUUGUAUGAAAUUUGGUAAACAAAUAUCAAAAAAUUAUCUUCACAAUUUCUUAGGUUCCAUGAAAGGACCCGCCCCGAAUUUUUCAAAACCGGAGGCGAACCCUUUGGAAUUCCCGACAUCAUCCCGAUGCCAGGCCCACUUACUAAAGACCGAGACUUCCUGCCGAAAUUUUGGCAGAGUCUCCUCUAUAAAUUGGACAUCUCCCAAAAUUUCAACUUGCAUAAAAACGCAUUUAAUAAUCACAACUGGCAGCAUGCACAAUAUAAUUUCAUGCAAUCCACAAAAAUGGUCUUCGGCCUUCCAAUAAUUCUCAACCAACUACCAAACAAUUCAAAUACAAAUUAUGACUAACAUUUAGUCUGCGGCUGCACCUAAUAACCUUAGGCUGCCUACGUAUCCUCCUUGAGGGAUCAAGCCACACGUAGUUCUUCCAUAAAACCCAAUUCCACACUUAGGCGAUACCUUAUUUCAUUUUUCUGUAUUUCACAUAAUCUCCCCAUACGCCGGUACAACCAACGCCACGUAUGGGGUCUGUCAACACGCCGGAUAACCUACGCCACGUGCGACCAUGCCUUACUAUCAUAAUAUCUCUCCAUACGCCGGUACAACCAACGCCACGUAUGGGACCUGUCUCAACGCCGGAUAACCUACGCCACGUGAGACCUGCACAUCAUAUCACAUAUCUCUCCAUACGCCGGUACAACCAACGUCACGUAUGGGGCCUGUCGACACUCCGGAUAACCUAUGCCACGUGCGACCUCAACAUAAUAUCACAUAUCUCCCCAUACGCCGGUACAACCAACGCCACGUAUGGGGCCUGUCUCAAUGCCGGGUAACCUACGCCACGUGAGACCUGAACAUCAUAUCACAAAUCUCCCCAUACACCGGUAUGAAAAACGCCACGUAUGGGGCCUGUCCCAACGCUGGAUAACCUACGGCACGUGGGACCUAAUUUUCACUUGGUGGUACUUGUAGUGUAACCAAAAUCCGGGGAGGUACCUAAGGUAGUGCAUACAGCACUCCAAACUGAUAUUCUAGACUCUUUUGUACCCUUGUACAAACAUAUAUAAUUAUAAUUAUUUAUAUUAAUUCUAAUAUUGUGUAACCCUCCAUAAUAGUCCAGCACCCGAUAAUCCCUCCUGGAAAGGUGAGAUUACUCCGGGAGACAUACGGUCAACCAAGGGUCAAACUACCCUAACC
rnacentral:lncRNA from 1 species